GUGCCUACCUAUCAGGAGAGACACCAUGAUCAGGCAGGUGGUUUUGCCAGGAUGAGACCCAGCCAUUGCACUGGGGAUGUGCUGACCUCUGCGACGUCCCCAAAUGUGGGAAACUUGACUCAAUAAUUUGUGGUAGUGGGGGACUGUGUUCACACUCUCUCCUU